AUUGAACUUAAAAAACGUUUUCUGGACUUUGAAGGUUCGGAACGCAGAGAAAUUUCGGGUUCGAUUCCCGGAGCAAUA
rnacentral:tRNA from 1 species